GAUGAACGCUGGCGGCGUGCCUAAUACAUGCAAGUCGAGCGAACAGACGAGGAUCUUGCUCCUCUGACGUUAGCGGCGGACGUGUGAGUAACACGUGUAUAACCUACCUAUAAGACUGGUAUAACUUCGGGAAACCGGAGCUAAUACCGGAUAAUAUAUUGAACCGCAUUGUUCAAUAGUGAAAUACGGUUUUGCUGUCACUUAUAGAUGCAUCCCCUCGUCAUUAGCUAGUUGGUAAGUUAACGGCUUACCAAGGCAACGAUGCGUAUCCGACCUGAGAGGGGGAUCGGCCACACUGGAACUGAGACACGGUCCAGACUCCUACGGGAGGCAGCAGAAGGGAAUAUUCCGCAAUGGGCGAAAGCAUGACGGAGGAAGGCCGAGUGAGUGAUGAAGGUCUUGGGAUCGUAAAACUCUGUUAUUAGGGAAGAACAAAUGUGUAAGUAACUAUGCACGAAUUGACGGUACCUAAUAAGAAAGCCACGGCUAACUACGUG
rnacentral:rRNA from 1 species